AGAGCGAACGCUGGCGGCAGGCCUAACACAUGCAAGUCGAGCGGUCGUAGCAAUACGGCAGCGGCAGACGGGAGAGUAACACGUGGGAACGCGCCCUUCGGUUCGGAAUAACUCAGGGAAACUUGGGCUAAUACCGGAUACGCCCUUACGGGGAAAGAUUUAUUGCCGAAGGAACGGCCCGCGUCCGAUUAGCUUGUUGGUGAGGUAAUGGCUCACCAAGGCGACGAUCGGUAGCUGGUCUGAGAGGAUGACCAGCCUCACUGGGACUGAGACACGGCCCAGACUCCUACGGGAGGCAGCAGUGGGGAAUAUUGGACAAUGGGCGCAAGCCUGAUCCAGCCAUGCCGCGUGGGUGAUGAAGGCCCUAGGGUUGUAAAGCCCUUUGGCGGGGAAGAGUAAUGACGGUACCCGCAGAAGAAGCCCCGGCUAACUUCGCGCCAGCAGCCGC
rnacentral:rRNA from 1 species